rnacentral:rRNA from 1 species
AUUGAACGCUGGCGGCAGGCCUAACACAUGCAAGUCGAACGAGUGGCGGACGGGUGAGUAAUGUAUGGGAAACUGCCCGAUGGAGGGGGAUAACUACUGGAAACAGUAGCUAAUACCGCAUACUAUCGGAUGCGCCCAGAUGGGAUUAGCUAGUUGGUGGGGUAACGGCUCACCUAGGCGACGAUCCCUAGCUGGUCUGAGAGGAUGACCAGCCACACUGGGACUGAGACACGGCCCAGACUCCUACGGGAGGCAGCAGGGGGGAAUUUUGGACAAUGGGCGCAAGCCUGAUGCAGCCAUGCCGCGUGUAUGAAGAAGGCCUUAGGGUUGUAAAGUACUUUCAGCGGGGAGGCGGUACUCGCAGAAGAAGCACCGGCUAACUACGUGCCAGCAGCCGCGGUAAUAC